AGAGUUUGAUCAUGGCUCAGGAUGAACCUAGCGGCAGGCUUAAUACAUGCAAGACGAACGGUAACUGGUGUAGCAAUACACUAGCUAGAGUGUCGUACGGGUGCGUAACACGUAUGCAACCUACCUUGUACAGGGGUAUAGCUCGGGGAAACUCGAAUUAACCCUCCAUAAUAUGUUGAGGUGGCAUCACCAUAACAUUAAAACUGAGGUGGUACAAGAUGGGCAUGCGUUUGAUUAGUUAGUUGGCAGUGUAAUGGACUACCAAGACGAUGAUCAAUAGGGGACCUGAGAGGGUGAUCCCCCACACUGGCACUGAGAUACGGGCCAGACUCCUACGGGAGGCAGCAGUAGGGAAUAUUGGACAAUGGGUGAGAGCCUGAUCCAGCCAUGCCGCGUGCGGGAAGAAGGCGUUAUGCGUUGUAAACUGCUUUCGCCAGGGGAUAAAAAGACCGUGCGCGGUUAAUUGAAGGUACCUGGUGAAUAAGCCACGGCUAACUACGUGCCAGCAGCCGCGGUAAUACGUAGGUGGCAAGCGUUGUCCGGAUUUAUUGGGUUUAAAGGGUGCGUAGGUGGCUAACUAAAUCAGUGGUGAAAUAUCUCAGCUUAACUGAGAGGGUGCCAUUGAUACUGGAUAGCUUGAGUACAGAUGAGGUAGGCGGAAUUGACGGUGUAGCGGUGAAAUGCAUAGAUAUCGUCAAGAACACCGAUAGCGAAGCAGCUUACCAAGCUGUAACUGACACUGAGGCACGAAAGUGUGGGGAUCAGACAGGAUUAGAUACCCUUGUAGUCC
rnacentral:rRNA from 1 species